rnacentral:rRNA from 1 species
AACGAACGCUGGCGGCAUGCCUAACACAUGCAAGUCGAACGAGACCUUCGGGUCUAGUGGCGCACGGGUGCGUAACGCGUGGGAACCUGCCCUUAGGUUCGGAAUAACUCCCCGACAGGGGUGCUAAUACCGGAUAAUGUCUUCGGACCAAAGAUUUAUCGCCUUUGGAUGGGCCCGCGUUGGUUUAGCUAGUUGGUAGGGUAAAAGCCUACCAAGGCGACGAUCCAUAGCUGGUCUGAGAGGAUGAUCAGCCACACUGGGACUGAGACACGGCCCAGACUCCUACGGGAGGCAGCAGUGGGGAAUAUUGGACAAUGGGCGAAAGCCUGAUCCCGCAAUGCCGCGUGAGUGAUGAAGGCCUUAGGGUUGUAAAGCUCUUUUACCCGGGAUGAUAAUGACAGUACCGGGAGAAUAAGCUCCGGCUAACUCCGUG